rnacentral:rRNA from 1 species
AGAGUUUGAUCCUGGCUCAGGACGAACGCUGGCGGCGUGCCUAACACAUGCAAGUCGAGCGGGGAACGGAUGGUAGCUUGCUACUGUUUGUUUCUAGCGGCGGACGGGUGAGUAACGCGUGAGCAACCUGCCUUUAUCAGGGGGAUAACGCAUCGAAAGAUGUGCUAAUACCGCGUAAGACCACAGCUUCACAUGGAGCGGGGGUCAAAGGAGCAAUCCGGAUAAAGAUGGGCUCGCGUCCGAUUAGCUAGUUGGUGAGAUAACAGCCCACCAAGGCGACGAUCGGUAGCCGACCUGAGAGGGUGAUCGGCCACAUUGGAACUGAGACACGGUCCAGACUCCUACGGGAGGCAGCAGUGGGGAAUAUUGGGCAAUGGAGGGAACUCUGACCCAGCAACGCCGCGUGAGUGAAGAAGGUUUUCGGAUUGUAAAACUCUUUAAGCGGGGACGAAGAAAGUGACUGUACCCGCAGAAUAAGCAUCGGCUAACUACGUGCCAGCAGCCGCGGUAAUACGUAGGAUGCAAGCGUUAUCCGGAAUGACUGGGCGUAAAGGGUGCGUAGGUGGUUUGUCAAGUUGGCAGCGUAAUUCCGUGGCUUAACCGCGGAACUACUGCCAAAACUGAUAGGCUUGAGUGCGGCAGGGGUAUGUGGAAUUCCUAGUGUAGCGGUGGAAUGCGUAGAUAUUAGGAGGAACACCGGUGGCGAAAGCGACAUACUGGGCCGUAACUGACACUGAAGCACGAAAGCGUGGGGAGCAAACAGGAUUAGAUACCCUGGUAGUCCACGCCGUAAACG